CCUCCCAAAGUGCUGGGAUUACAGGUGUGAGCCACUGUGUUACCUAGAUAAUGUGAUAACCUCCUAACUGGUCUCCUUGUCUCAAAUCUGGAUUCUCUCUCAUCCAUCUACACUGUAGCCAAAAUGUUCUCAAAUACAAAUAUUUGUGUGACUUUCUAGUGUAAUCCUCUUCACUGUUCAUGGGUAAAAUCCAGACUUCCACACACUCUAGCCCCUCUUUGCCUCUGCAGGCUCAUCUCUCACCACUUCUUGCGGUUGAAAUUUCAUUCCUUUCAGCCAAAAGUCCUUUGCCAGGAUGCAGCUGAUGCCACCAAGAACCUUCUCCCAUAGCACUCCACCUGGUGGCUCUUAGAAGUGCUUCCUGACUUGCUGAAAUCUGAAUUCAGUGCACCUUGUGUUUGACAACAGUGUUACUCCGGGUGCAGAUCUGUGAUCUGCAAACUGAAGGUCUGUGGCAAGAAUGCAAGACAAGAAUAAUAAAGGAGACAAUUGUCAGCAUUUCCAGAAAGCGCUACAGCCAACUUAUGUUUCCUGUCUGCAUGACUCCUUCAACCUCUGUCAGAGAACAUUGAUGUGGCCAGCUACAUUCUUCACUCCCUAUCAUCCCAGAACAUGAAUGGGAAGAGGAUGAGACCUUGGCUCCUGUCCAGUUUUUAGAGCUUUCCGACUCUCAUAUUUACUAUAUAAUGCACACAGUAUAUUAUAUUGUUUGUGUGUCUGUGUGUGAUAAUAGUUACGUAAAAUAACCUAAAUCUUCAGAGAUUGGUGUCAAAAGAGGAAGCCCCACUUCCUGUUCUAUGUAGUCAGAAUCGUCUUUUUCUUCAUCUUCUUCCUCUUCUUCUUCCUCAUUUUUUUGUAUGGAGUUGAACCAAUUACAGCGACCCUGGGAAUGAAUGUUGCAAGAUUUAGUAGUCUAAUGGGGACCUUAAAAUUUCAGAUUAUUCAUUUGAAUUGAUCAGGAUGAAGUGUAACUCUGUGGGAAUUUAAUCAAUUAUUCAUUCAUUCAUUCUACAUACAUUUUCCAAGUGCUAUUUUGAUCUAGGUUGUUUCAAGGAAAGGACCGUGCUAUUUAUUUUAAGAAUUUGCCAAAUUCUUGAAGUCACAGAAUGUGUAUUUUUAAAUUAUCACUUAUAUUUUAAAAUUAGCAGAACCUUAGUGAAAAAGGUAAGAGUGUAUUUUACUGGUUUGUGGUAAAUAAUUUAUGUGAGAGAGCUAAAGCUAUUAUGAUGAUUAUUAUUAACAAUAACAUUUAAAUGUGGUAAGAUUAUUUAUGGAGGUUUAGGGUUUAUAAUGUCUCAGUUAGCUCUUAUGUAGAGAAAGCUAAGAGUAUCUCUUAUCUAGAUCAAAGUAUAACGAAGAUUUUCUACCUGCAGAUGAGGUAAUAUAGCACAGGGGUUAAGUGGAUGCACUGGGUCCACUCUGUGCAGCCUCACAUCUGAUUCUGUUCCUUAUUAGUUAUGUUCCUUUUGUCACAUUUCCUAAACUCUCUUUCAAUUUCCUCAUCUGAAAAUUAAGGAUAAUAAUACUAUGUCAUGGGGUUGCUGUGAAGAUUAAAUCUUGUACACACGCACAAACACACACCCCAACACACACACACCUGGCACAAUAGGUAUUAUAUAACUGCUAUACAGCACUGUUUCCUUGCUUUUUGUUUUUGUUACAAUCCCUUAUUGUUCUUGGCACAAAAGCUACAUGUAUUAUAGAGAUAAAAUUAAAGAACUAUUUUCAAAAUUAAUGUACCCAUCUAUAUUAAACAUAUAAAAAUUGAGUAAUUUCAGAACACACAAAUCUAAAUCUGUACAUCAUCUGUCAAACGCUCCAUAGAAGAAUGUGUUUUAUUUUCAAAUAGAAAAUAAAGUCUGUUUGGAGAUCCCUGGGACCUUCAGUUAUAUAGACAAUUAUAUAGACACUGGCAAUUGUAUAUUACUCUGCAUUUUUGGCUGUGUUUUUAAUUAUCUCUUUUCCUGCCUAUUAAAUAGAGUCCAAAGGCC